rnacentral:rRNA from 1 species
CUCUACGGGAGGCAGCAGUGGGGAAUCUUCCGCAAUGGGCGAAAGCCUGACGGAGCAACGCCGCGUGAGUGAGGAAGGCCUUCGGGUCGUAAAACUCUGUCUUCAGGGAAGAAAAAAAUGACGGUACCUGAGGAGGAAGCCCCGGCUAACUACGUGCCAGCAGCCGCGGUAAAACGUAGGGGGCGAGCGUUGUCCGGAAUUACUGGGCGUAAAGGGCGCGUAGGCGGUUAUUUAAGUCAGAGGUGAAAACUACCGGCUCAACCGGUAGCCUGCCUUUGAAACUGGAUGACUUGAGGGCAGGAGAGGGGAGUGGAAUUCCCAGUGUAGCGGUGAAAUGCGUAGAUAUUGGGAGGAACACCAGUGGCGAAGGCGGCUCUCUGGCCUGUUUCUGACGCUGAGGCGCGAAAGCGUGGGGAGCAAACGGGAUUAGAUACCCCGGUAGUCCACGCCGUAAACGAUGGGUGCUAGGUGUAGGAGGUAUCGACCCCUUCUGUGCCGUAGUUAACACAAUAAGCACCCCGCCUGGGGAGUACGGCCGCAAGGUUGAAACUCAAAGGAAUUGACGGGGGCCCGCACAAGCGGUGGAGCAUGUGGUUUAAUUCGACGCAACGCGAAGAACCUUACCAGGGCUUGACAUCCUCUGACCGCAUAUGAAAGUAUGUUUUCUGGCUUCGGUCAGACAGAGAGACAGGUGGUGCAUGGUUGUCGUCAGCUCGUGUCGUGAGAUGUUGGGUUAAGUCCCGCAACGAGCGCAACCCCUACGUUUAGUUGCUAACGUGUAACGAUGAGCACUCUAGGCGGACUGCCGUUGACAAAACGGAGGAAGGUGGGGAUGACGUCAAAUCAUCAUGCCCCUUAUGUUCUGGGCUACACACGUGCUACAAUGGCCGGUACAAAGGGACGCAAAGCCGCGAGGUGGAGCAAAUCCGAUAAAAGCCGGUCUCAGUUCGGAUUGCAGGCUGCAAUUCGCCUGCAUGAAGUCGGAAUCGCUAGUAAUCGCAGGUCAGCAUACUGCGGUGAAUACGUUCCCGGGCCUUGUACACACCGCCCGUCACACCACGAAAGCGAGCAACACCCGAAGCCGGUGACUUAACCUGAAAAGGAGAGAGCUGUCGAAGGUGGGGUUGGUGAUUGGGGUGAAGUCGUAACAAGGUA